rnacentral:rRNA from 1 species
AUUGAACGCUGGCGGCGUGCUUAACACAUGCAAGUCGAGCGGUAACAGGCGUAGCAAUACGUGCUGACGAGCGGCGAACGGGUGCGUAAUACAUGGGAAUCUGCCUAGUAGUGGGGAAUAACCCGGCGAAAGCCGGGCUAAUGCCGCAUACGAUCCACGGAUGAAAGCGGGGGACCUUCGGGCCUCGCGCUAUUGGAUGAGCCCAUGUCGGAUUAGCUAGUUGGGAGGUAACGGCUCACCAAGGCGACGAUCCGUAGCUGGUCUGAGAGGACGGCCAGCCACACUGGGACUGAGACACGGCCCAGACCCCUACGGGAGGCAGCAGUGGGGAAUAUUGGACAAUGGGGGCAACCCUGAUCCAGCGACGCCGCGUGUGUGAAGAAGG